rnacentral:rRNA from 1 species
AGCGGUGAAAUGCGUAGAGAUCUGGAGGAAUACCGAUGGCGAAGGCGGCCAUCUGGCCUAAUACUGACGCUGAGGUACGAAAGCAUGGGGAGCAAACAGGAUUAGAUACCCUGGUAGUCCAUGCCGUAAACGAUGUCUACUAGCCGUUGGGGCCUUUGAGGCUUGAGUGGCGCAGCUAACGCGAUAAGUAGACCGCCUGGGGAGUACGGUCGCAAGACUAAAACUCAAAUGAAUUGACGGGGGCCCGCACAAGCGGUGGAGCAUGUGGUUUAAUUCGAUGCAACGCGAAGAACCUUACCUGGCCUUGACAUACUGGAAACUUUCCAGAGAUGGAUUGGUGCCUUCGGGAAUUUAGAUACAGGUGCUGCAUGGCUGUCGUCAGCUCGUGUCGUGAGAUGUUGGGUUAAGUCCCGCAACGAGCGCAACCCUUUUCCUUACUUGCCAGCAUUUCGGAUGGGAACUUUAAGGAUACUGCCAGUGACAAACUGGAGGAAGGCGGGGACGACGUCAAGUCAUCAUGGCCCUUACGGCCAGGGCUACACACGUGCUACAAUGGUCGGUACAAAGGGAUGCUACACAGCGAUGUGAUGCUAAUCUCAAAAAGCCGAUCGUAGUCCGGAUUGGAGUCUGCAACUCGACUC